rnacentral:lncRNA from 1 species
GACUAUCGCCUCUUAGGCGCUCAACGUCAUUUGCAGGAAUCGGAGAGGCCCCUGUCUCCCUCCACCUAGGCGAGGUGUGCGUCUGCCUGUGUCUGAUUUCUCCCCCCCAAGGGAAACCAGGAAGAAAAAUCUUCCCACAAGAGAAGAACGGAAGAAAUCGACAGGUAGAAGAAAGAGGAGGUUUCAAGGUAAUGGCUUAUCUUCCAGAGUGACGAGGAACAUGAUUGUAUUGUUCUCAGGUCCUGUAGAACCGAAUUUGAGCCAAAUUCUUCAUUCGCGUUCGUAUUUCUGCAUCGCAGGAUGCUUCAUUCUUUAAUAUGUUGGCGUAUCAGAAAAGAUGUUCUGAUCCUCGACGAUUUCACGGCCAGGAAAAAAACCGAAGAAAGGCUUUAAGCAAGGGCAUUCUGAUUUUUUCAUGAAGGCGCCUUUAAAUCCCAUUGUUUAGAUGCUGCUGCCAUUCGGCUCCUGUCCUCAUACUGCAAUCAUCCUGCAGGGCUCUUAUUGAAUGCCAUGCGAGAUGUCCCUCCGGAGUACUGGGAAUUCAUUCUGAAUUCUGAACUGGUGACCCAGGUUUUUUUGGGGGGAAGACGAUCGAAAUCUGUUGCUGGGAGUCUCUGUUGAGGUCAAGAUCGCCGCCGAGGUUAUGCUGGGGAAUGAGCAUUCAGUUGAUUUUAGUGAACUGUGGCCACAGAUUUUGGUGGUGCCGACCAGGAAGGGCACACAAGAUGCAGCAGUUUAAACAACCCAGGCUCUGCUGGAUCUUCUCUGCUCGGGAUUUUCUGUUUUUGGGUAUUUUUGAUUGUAUAUUCCAUUUUUUCUGCGAGGUAGUUCAUUUUAGUUGUUUAGUUAGAGAAUUCCAUUAUAGAGGGCAGUGCACCACCCCCAGCGCCGCCAUUGGCCGGAGGUUCUCUCUCUCUCUCUCUCUCUCUCUCUCUCUCUCUCGUCUC